GAGUGGUGUUUGGUUUGAUACGAGUGGUUGGCUCCCUGCUUGAGCAGGCACGGCCACACGUACAUUCCUUUUCAGUUGUGCGGCAAGGCUUGUAUCGUCUUGAUUGUAUAGGUGGGUUUCCUGUGUUGCAUACCUGAUCAAUGGCAUUGUUUUGAUUCAAAGACGUACCUUUUUCGUCUGGCAUUGCGGUGCAAUGUUAGACGAACCACGUAGCAUCCUUUUUGAUCCAUCUAGUCAGAUGAGUAUUCGUCGAUUGUUUGGCUCGUUGAGGGUGGCUUGGUCUUUCGGAUAUGGAAGCCAAAGUGGGCAUGGGUUCGUAUGAUCCUUCUAUUGCCCUAGUUGAGCGUUCUCACUUCUCUUGAACGACUGUCUCUCACGUAUGGCACGUCCCAGCGUGUUUGGCUAUGUCGUAGAGGGUUGCUACCUGGUUGAUCCUGCCAGUAGUCAUAU
rnacentral:misc_RNA from 1 species